rnacentral:tRNA from 1 species
GCCGGGGUAGCUCAAUCGUAAGCAUCACCACGACGAUACGUCAACUCAAACCACUAUUCUAACUCUCCACCAGGGUAGAGCGUGUGGCUCUUAGACUACUAGGAGUAGUGAAACCUCAAGGUCGCGGGUUCGAGCCCCGCCUUCGGCU